rnacentral:lncRNA from 1 species
AUGGCAGCAGGGCCCGGCGCUGCCUCCGGGAGCGGGCGGCAGCUCUGCGGUCACGAGCGGGGCCUCGCCGCUGCCUCCGGGUCCCCGCUGGGCCGGGCAGCCCGGGGCCGGCCGUGCGAGCAGCCUGGGGCCCCGCGGGGAGCGGUGCGGCCUCUGCCCCGCGUACACUCCCUUCCACUGCAAACAAACAGCUUCUGUCUCGGGGGAGGCAAGGCGAGGCCACUUACCUCGUGGCCCAUUUUUCUCUGCGCCCUGCUAAGUCUCUGCCUCAUCUCUUUCCUUCUCACGUGCUGGCAGUCGGGAGGCUUUCUGCGCCGCAGCGCUGUGCCUGGCAGGAAUCCCACUGUCGCUGCAGAGAAACCCCAGACCGUCCUACUUGUUCUGGCUUCCCCGUUUGUACAGAUGGUGCGGGACAAAUGGAGGCGGAGAAGCCGCUCUGAUCAAUUAAAAGGAAACGCAGUCCUGUCUUGUGGCGCGUCACCUUCUUCUGAGGCGUCAAACUGCAGCUCGAGCUGCGCCGGCGGCUGGGUGCGUGGGGCAGGGUCAGCUGGGGGUGCGGGCGCCGUGCCGAGGUGCAGCUCCAGCUUUGUGCUGCGCCUUCCCGUGGGAGAUAUCACCCCGGGCUUAUCGGGCGGGUUUUAUAGCUCCCUCCCCACGCUGUCAGCCACCUCCAGUGCCGGUAAUCCACCUGGACGGCGGGAUUAGGGCAGCACGGGAGGAGGCGUCCGCAGGGCAGCGCAGAGGCUUCCUGCCGUGCCUCCCCCGCCCUGUUUCUCCUCAGCCUCCCGGCUCCGUCGCCGCAGGAAUCGCGUCGGCUCUGCUGGUUCCUCGCGGUCCUUCCUGCAGCUGGACGGCAGCUGCCCGGCUCUGCCCCCUUCCCCCGCUGCUGCUCCGGGCUGCUUGCACGCGCGGGUGGCGUGCGGAGCGGGGGGAAGUCUCUGGGGGGGGCUGGGUGCGGGAGGGAAGCAGAUGCUGUGCUGGGUGGGAGCCUGUCCUCAGCCUGGGCGGUGGGGGGGUGCUGGCAGCGCUCUGCUGGUGCUGCCGGCUGCUUUGGGGCUCCCCAGAGCAGCACUGGCGUCCUCAGUGCCAGGAGGAACCCCCGAGCUGCUCCCGUCUGCAGUGAGCUCGUUUUCCUCCCCCCAUGCAUCACGAAACGUGGCGCUGCCAGGAAGGAGCAGGCUGGGGCGAGGGGCCCGAGGAUGCCCCCGGCACCAUCCACCGCGAGGCUCCGCGCUCGGUGCCGUCCUCCCGAGGGGGAUUUUGGGUUCCUGCUGCUGCUCAAACCCUUCUGGCAUGGGGGAAAAGCCGGCCGUGCAGUGUGACCGUCCCCCCUUGCUCCGUUCCCCUUUCCCUUCGCCCCCCGCCUGCCCUCCUGCAGCCUGG